rnacentral:rRNA from 1 species
CGCUUUUCGUAAUCUAUAAAUGGGAAGUCGGUUCUGCUCUAUGAUGUGCGCAUUCAAUAGCGGCGGUAUAACUGACCGUCCAAAGGUAGUGUAAUUUCUAGUCCUUUAAUUGUGGGCCAAUGAAUGGAUUGACGGGCUGUAGUUGUCUCAUUUAUGUUUUUUAGAAAUUAACUUUUCGGUGAAGAGGCCUAGAUGGUGCAGGGGGACGAGAAGACCCUGUCAAACUUUAAUUAAACAGCACUUCUUUAACCGGUGUUUUUGCUGUGUGAAAUUUUAGUUGGGGCA